rnacentral:rRNA from 1 species
CCCUACGGGGCGCAGCAGGCGCGAAAACUUUACAAUGCGGGAAACCGUGAUAAGGGAACUCCGAGUGUCCGUAAAUGCGGACUGUCCGUAUGUUUAAAAAGCAUGCGAAGAAAGGGCCGGGCAAGACCGGUGCCAGCCGCCGCGGUAAUACCGGCGGCUCGAGUGGUGGCCACUAUUACUGGGCUUAAAGCGUUCGUAGCUGGUCUGUUAAGUCUCUGGGGAAAUCUGCCGGCUUAACCGGCAGGCGUCUCAGGGAUACUGGCAGACUAGGGACCGGGAGAGGUGAGAGGUACUCCAGGGGUAGGAGUGAAAUCCUGUAAUCC